UUUUUUUUUUCUAACUAUCAGUAUUUCCAACUAUUAUUAUUUUAUUUAUAGCUAUUAUUAUUUUCCAACUAUUAAUGUACAUGAGAUAUUGGUGAAUGCUAAAACAAACACUUAUCCUCCCUAUUUAGAACCUAAUUCUCCAUAUCCCUAAUUUUUAUAGGGUCGUUCUAAGAUGAACAAUACCUUGUGAAAACAAUAGUACUUGUGUAGUUACACUAAAGCAAAAAGAAACUAUUAUCAAAUGAAAGUAUGAAUACUUCUACCCGGUGAGUAAUUGAAGAAAAAUUAUACCCAUCAGUCGCAGGUCUGGAAAUGUGUGAAUAUCCAAUAUUUUGAAAGGGUGAAGAUGAUGC
rnacentral:lncRNA from 1 species